rnacentral:rRNA from 1 species
AGAUGAAAAAAGUUUAAAAAAGCUUAAAAAUCUUCAAAAAAGUGUUGACAAGUGAAAGUGGCUGUGAUAUACUAAUAUAGUUGUCGCUUGAGAGAAGCAAGUGAUAAAGACCUUUGAAAACUGAACAAGACGAACCAAUGUGCAGGGCGCUACAACAUAAGUUGUAGUACUGAACAAUGAGAAAAAACAAUAAAUCUGUCAGUGACAGAAAUGAGUGAGAACUCAAACUUUUAAUGAGAGUUUGAUCCUGGCUCAGGACGAACGCUGGCGGCGUGCCUAAUACAUGCAAGUAGAACGCUGAAGGAGGAGCUUGCUUCUCUGGAUGAGUUGCGAACGGGUGAGUAACGCGUAGGUAACCUGCCUGGUAGCGGGGGAUAACUA